ensembl:lncRNA
GUAGGUCAGGUGACCCGAGUGGCGGGCGGCGAGGGCGGGGCGAUGCUCAGGCCCCGCCCAUGGGCAUCCCGGGUCCUGGGGCUGGGCGGGCGCGAAGGCGAUGCCACUCCCUCUCAUUGCCAUCCCGGCUUUUGGAUGGGUUUAAGGCGCGAGUUGUCGGACUCCUAAGAAUUAUAGAUUUUUUUUUAUGUUCUAGUGAAAGCAAUGCAAAAUUGGAGCUGACCUUCAUCAUUAUCAAGCUGUGAGGCUCACUUCUGAUUUGCAGACCUGUACAGAGUGAACUGAGGCUUCCCAGGUGACUCAGUGGUAAAGAAUCUGCCUGCCAAUGCAGGAGAUGCAAGAAAUGUGGAUUUAGUCCUUGGGUCAGGAAGAUCUCCUGAGUAGGAAAUGGCAACGCACUCCAGUAUUCUUGCCUGGCAUGGACAGAGGAGCCUGGCAGGCAACAGUCCAUGGGGUCUCAAAGAGUCAGACACGACUGAGGACGCAUGCAACGACGGGGUGAGCUGAGGGUUGGGAGACCUGGCCCAAGUGUACCCCUCUGGAAAUGCGCACCCCGAUUGUUUAACUUUCUGAUUAUCUUAAGAUGGGCCGGGAAAUCCUUUCUUACCAACCUUUGCUGUUGAACGUUUGUCUCUUUAGCUUAUUUGUCCAGUUUCCUGCCAUAGCCAGCAGAAUGUAUAGAACAGACUGUUAGGCUGUCAGUUUCACGUUCCCAAGAGUCCUUGAAUAGUUCCCUUUCUGAUGGUGCCUCAAAGUCUCUGGUGGCUCCUGAUAGAGAUCCAGACCUUUCUCCUGUCUUCAAGGUCUGGCCUGAUGCCUCUGGCCACUGCUCCAGCCACAGUCCCAUCACACCUGCCCAUCCUCAGGCGUACUUUCUGGUCUCCCAGCUAUACCUGGUGUCCUCCAGCCUCUUCCCACUACUCUUCACAUGGUUAUCUCUUACUCUUCUUUGGUCUCAGCAAACAGCCAUUUUCUCAGGGAGGCCUUCCCUAACUUUCACACCCAGGUUAAGUCCUUUUACCCUCUCUCAGAGCCUUGUGCCCUUCCUUUGAUCACAACUCUUGGCAUUGCUGGAGUUUAUCGUAUGUCUGUUGCCUCCAUGUCAAUCCCCCUUCAUAAACAUUGUAUUCUGUGGCAUCAGCCAACGUGUUGUGUUAGUGUAGUGCCUGGCACUAAUAGAUGCUAGUGAAG